CUAAAAAAUCUCCAUUUUGUGCUCUUUGAAUUCUACUCAACAACGCCUAUGUCUAUCAAUAAUCCCUCAUUCGCCGUUUCUAUCUUUAUUUCUCUCUUUCAAAAUCUCCCCUUCAUCGUUUCCAUUGAUUAUGCCCUAAUUCACGGUCGCCAUUAAUUCUUAAUUGUUUCCAUUGUUUAUGCAUUUGACCAACUGUCUAUCAACAACAUAUCAGUUGGCUACAAUUUAUUAUGCCCAACCUUUUCAAUUAUAAAUCAUUGCUCCAAAGAUUUACUUUUUACAUUCCCAAAUCCCAAACCUGUUUUCAGCCGACCCGUUCCACUUUUGUACAAUUAAGAACCCAGGUUAUCUUCGGCUAAUUAUCUCAUCUCCGGUUAAUCAUCCAUCGAUUUUUGAAUUUUGUUCAUUGAGAUCACUUGUAACUCUUUAGGAAUUUUGACAUCGAUGAAAACAAGUCUAUAUCAGCACAUGAGCUGAAGUAGCUUAUAACGAGAGUCAAGUUCCAAUUGUAUAAAUUGACGUGUUAUGUGAGGCUCUUUCAAAGAGUUUAAGGCUUUCAAAGAGUUUGAUCGGAAUAGUAAUGAUUUUACUGAUGAGCCAGAUCGUUGUGAAUGAGAUGACAAAAUAUAUGGGUAAGGUCAUUCAAGUUGUACAUACAUCGCAAGUUGAUGGGAUAAAAAUCAUUGAAGAUUUGAUGAUGGGAUAAAAAUCAUUGAAGAUUUGAGAUUUUAACAGUUUGCAUUAGGAAUUGAGAUUAGCGGUGGUUGAUAAUUCCAUCUGAGAAAUGAGUUUGUUUUGUUUUAUGAGCGUGCAGAUUGUGUGGAAAGGAGAAUAUUAGAAGUGUGAUUUCUUCAUAUCAUUAUUUUAAUUUUAAGUAAUGUCAUACAAGAAUUUGAAAUUAUAGUACGUUUUAAUUAUGUC